CUUUAAACAACCUGCCCUGUGUUUUAUAUAAAAACAAACAGUCCCCAGGGCAUACUUGUUAUAAACAAUGACAUUGCUAGGUUACAUUAAAUGCCAAGAGUUUGAGCCCAAAUCAGACACAUUUUUAAAAAAACAAAAUAACGAUACAGGCUCCCUUCCCAUAUCAUGCAUGUAGAAGGUAGGAUGUCAGCUAGUUUACCACUCUCAGGAAUGCAGGGCUUAAGCUUUCCCUAUAGGAUAUUGUAACAUAUUCCUCCUCACCUUGCGGUAUUUGUGCAUCGUGCAUCUUCUCCCACUGUAUCACCUCCGCCUAGUUUACC